GCAACUCGCCUGCAUGAAGUCGGAAUUGCUAGUAAUCGCAGAUCAGCAUGCCGUGGUGAAUACGUUCCCGGGCCUUGUACACACCGCCCGUCACACCAUGGGAGUCGGUAACACCCAAAGUUGGUAGUCUAACCGCAAGGAGGACGCCGCCUAAGGUGGGAUUGAUGACUGGGGUGAAGUCGUAACAAGGUAGC
rnacentral:rRNA from 1 species